rnacentral:lncRNA from 1 species
AUACAACAUUCUGUCCACAAAAAUGAAUCGACUCAUCCUCGACUCAACUCUGAGACUGGGUCGGCUCAUUGUGAUAAAAAAAAACUCUAUAGCCACAGCCUGCACAACUGAGUCAGCUCAUCUACAAACUAAGCCAACUUAACAGAGUCUCGAGUCGACUCAAACAAAAAUUGAGUCAACUUAUCAAGCAUGCCAACCAC